rnacentral:rRNA from 1 species
CGUGUAGGCUGCUUCGCAAGUCGGAUGUGAAAGCCCUGGGCUCAACCCAGGAAGUGCAUUCGAAACUGCAAAGCUGGAGUCCUGGAGAGGAAGGCGGAAUUCUCGGUGUAGAGGUGAAAUUCGUAGAUAUCGAGAGGAACACCGGUGGCGAAGGCGGCCUUCUGGACAGUGACUGACGCUGAGACGCGAAAGCGUGGGGAGCAAACAG